rnacentral:rRNA from 1 species
AAAUUGAAGAGUUUGAUCAUGGCUCAGAUUGAACGCUGGCGGCAGGCCUAACACAUGCAAGUCGAGCGGUAGCACAGAGAGCUUGCUCUCGGGUGACGAGCGGCGGACGGGUGAGUAAUGUCUGGGAAACUGCCUGAUGGAGGGGGAUAACUACUGGAAACGGUAGCUAAUACCGCAUAAUGUCGCAAGACCAAAGUGGGGGACCUUCGGGCCUCAUGCCAUCAGAUGUGCCCAGAUGGGAUUAGCUAGUAGGUGGGGUAACGGCUCACCUAGGCGACGAUCCCUAGCUGGUCUGAGAGGAUGACCAGCCACACUGGAACUGAGACACGGUCCAGACUCCUACGGGAGGCAGCAGUGGGGAAUAUUGCACAAUGGGCGCAAGCCUGAUGCAGCCAUGCCGCGUGUGUGAAGAAGGCCUUCGGGUUGUAAAGCACUUUCAGCGGGGAGGAAGGCGUUAAGGUUAAUAACCUUGGCGAUUGACGUUACCCGCAGAAGAAGCACCGGCUAACUCCGUGCCAGCAGCCGCGGUAAUACGGAGGGUGCAAGCGUUAAUCGGAAUUACUGGGCGUAAAGCGCACGCAGGCGGUCUGUCAAGUCGGAUGUGAAAUCCCCGGGCUCAACCUGGGAACUGCAUUCGAAACUGGCAGGCUAGAGUCUUGUAGAGGGGGGUAGAAUUCCAGGUGUAGCGGUGAAAUGCGUAGAGAUCUGGAGGAAUACCGGUGGCGAAGGCGGCCCCCUGGACAAAGACUGACGCUCAGGUGCGAAAGCGUGGGGAGCAAACAGGAUUAGAUACCCUGGUAGUCCACGCCGUAAACGAUGUCGAUUUGGAGGUUGUGCCCUUGAGGCGUGGCUUCCGGAGCUAACGCGUUAAAUCGACCGCCUGGGGAGUACGGCCGCAAGGUUAAAACUCAAAUGAAUUGACGGGGGCCCGCACAAGCGGUGGAGCAUGUGGUUUAAUUCGAUGCAACGCGAAGAACCUUACCUGGUCUUGACAUCCACAGAACUUUCCAGAGAUGGAUUGGUGCCUUCGGGAACUGUGAGACAGGUGCUGCAUGGCUGUCGUCAGCUCGUGUUGUGAAAUGUUGGGUUAAGUCCCGCAACGAGCGCAACCCUUAUCCUU